rnacentral:rRNA from 1 species
UACGUAGGCGCCAAGCGUUAUCCGGAUUCAUUGGGCGUAAAGGGUCCGUAGGCGGAUCCACAAGUCUGAUAUCAAAUUUCCCGGCUUAACCGGGAUCAGGUGUUGGAAACUGUGGGUCUAGAGUUCGGUAGAGGUUAUCGGAACUUAUCGAGUAGGGGUAAUAUCCGUUGAUACGAUAAGGAACACCAAAGGCGAAGGCAGAUAACUGGGCCGAUACUGACGCUCAUGGACGAAAGCGUGGGGAGCGAACGGG